AUGCACGCUGGCGGCGUGCCUAAUACAUGCAAGUCGCGCGAACAGACGAGGAGCUUGCUCCUCUGACGUUAGCGGCGGACGGGUGAGUAACACGUGGAUAACCUACCUAUAAGACUGGGAUAACUUCGGGAAACCGGAGCUAAUACCGGAUAAUAUAUUGAACCGCAUGGUUCAAUAGUGAAAGACGGUUUUGCUGUCACUUAUAGAUGGAUCCGCGCCGCAUUAGCUAGUUGGUAAGGUAACGGCUUACCAAGGCAACGAUGCGUAGCCGACCUGAGAGGGUGAUCGGCCACACUGGAACUGAGACACGGUCCAGACUCCUACGGGAGGCAGCAGUAGGGAAUCUUCCGCAAUGGGCGAAAGCCUGACGGAGCAACGCCGCGUGAGUGAUGAAGGUCUUCGGAUCGUAAAACUCUGUUAUUAGGGAAGAACAAAUGUGUAAGUAACUAUGCACGUCUUGACGGUACCUAAUCAGAAAGCCACGGCUAACUACGUG
rnacentral:rRNA from 1 species